CGUGCGCUGCACCGGCCACGAGAACGCGCUGGAGCGCUGCACCCACUCGGGCUGGGCCCGGCACAACUGCCAGCACCGCGAGGACGCGGGCGUGGUGUGCGCAGGUCUGGCUGACUCUCUUGUACCUAAGGACAAUGGUAAAGUCUUCCCUCUAGCGUCUGAGGCUAAGGAUGCUGAUGGGGGAGCUGAGAGAACAGCCAAGCAGGGGAGAAAGAACAGGCUGUGAUGGGGACCCGCUUCUGUGUUUACACUGAGAUCUCUGGAUUUCCACCCACUCGCUGGGUUUUAGGAGCCCAGCUAUCCUGCUUGCCUCACCUCUUCCAAGCCGUCAUUGACCGAGGCUAUCUCCGGAGGCUGGGCUACUCCUCCUGGGACAUCCACUUAAAUGAUGAGCUAUGUCGCCCCAAAGUCAUGGGACGCUGCCUGAUCUUCAACAUUCCCUAUGGCCACUGUGGCACUAUCCAGCAGGAGCACCUUGGCUCCCUCAGCUACUCUAACUCCAUCAGAGGCCGGAAACGGGGCCACCCUGGCCGAGU
rnacentral:lncRNA from 1 species